rnacentral:rRNA from 1 species
AUUGAACGCUGGCGGCAGGCCUAACACAUGCAAGUCGAACGAGUGGCGGACGGGUGAGUAAUGUCUGGGAAACUGCCCGAUAGAGGGGGAUAACUACUGGAAACGGUGGCUAAUACCGCAUACUAUCGGAUGUGCCCAGAUGGGAUUAGCUAGUAGGUGGGGUAAAGGCUCACCUAGGCGACGAUCCCUAGCUGGUCUGAGAGGAUGACCAGCCACACUGGAACUGAGACACGGUCCAGACUCCUACGGGAGGCAGCAGUGGGGAAUAUUGCACAAUGGGCGCAAGCCUGAUGCAGCCAUGCCGCGUGUAUGAAGAAGGCCUUAGGGUUGUAAAGUACUUUCAGCGGGGAGGUGUUACCCGCAGAAGAAGCACCGGCUAACUCCGUGCCAGCAGCCGCGGUAAUUC